UGUUUACAUGGUUGUGAGGUAUUGUUUGUAUCUUUUUCCUCCCUUACAAUAUCACACUUUAUAUAUUCUAUUAAUAAUAAGUGAGGAGAGAUUGGUAUUAAUAUGUAACCAAAACACCCUAGGAGUCUGCAUGACUAUAAUGUACUAAACUGGACACCAUACUUUUGUUUGACUUAAUGGAAAUUAAUUGAAUCAAUAAAUUACCAAAGCUGUGAUUCGGUGGUGCUGUAAUGUCCUUAACUGGACACUGUACCCUCAUUGGACUCCCUUGGUCCCUUAUAACUAUUAUCCCGACCAACCAUAACACCAUAACUUCACUUGACAGCCUGUCAAUAAAGUGGGGGAGGUUCCUAAUCACACUGAGGCCAGACCAGACCAUAGGGAGUCCUAGACGGACCUCAGGCGUUGUUGCUUCCUGUUAGUUCAGGCUAGGUAAUUAAUUGAUAAAUCAAUGACAGUGUCAUAAUUAGAAUCGGCACUUGCCUAACCUGCUUUGCCUGAUGUAAAUAACUUUGUGAUUGGGAGGUAGCUAACGUCAGCCGGUGGAAGUCAGCCAACCCUGAUCUGGCUGCCUGUGUUGACAUAGAGUCCCCCAGGCCUCAGUCUUCCUACCUCUGCUGAUCUGGAGCAUUUGUCAAACGUAGCUCAAUCAAUAUAUAAUAAUGAUGCAAAGAUGAUCUAUUAUUUGUAUUAUGCUGAGGGGAUAGGAAAGGGAAGCUGUAACAUAUAACACAGUAAUACUGUAUGUCCUUGGGAUCAAAAUCAUAUCAAAUUGUAUUUAUCACAUGCUUCGUAAACACCAGGUGUAGACGAACAGUGAAAUGCUUACUCACGGGCUCUUCCCAACAAUGCAGAGAGAAAAAUAUAGAAAAGUAAUAAUAAAUACAUAGAACAGCGAUAACUUGGAUAUAUACACGGGUUCCAGUACCGAGUUGACCUGCAGAUGUAUGAGGUAAUUGAGGUAGAUAUGUACAUAUACAUUAGGUACAGGUAAAGUGUUGAUAUUGAUCACAUUCUGUAUGUGAUUUGUUAUUGUGAUUAUGGCGUAGAGAAGGGAACUGUCUACCAGCGUUCUGGUUCAACCCAGCUGUUGUAUCAAGGAGCUACAGCCAAGGACAGAAGUACCUCAUCAGCACAGGGUACCGAAAAGUGGUGUCCAACAACUGCGUCAAGGGAGUCAAGGACAUGUACAUACCCAGGAAGCAGAUGUGUCCCAACAGGGCUCCAAAAGGCCUUUCUCUCUCCACCAGAGAGGGCAAGCUUACUGCCGACCUGCACACCAACGUCACCUUCCUAGUGCAUCUGGAUGAGGGUGACUCAAUGAGAACCAACAUCCAACUGGAUUUCAGAGAUUGCAUGGAAGUCUCCUAAUCCAACCUGAGCUGGAUUGAAGAGGGGAUCAGAUAAAAGACGGAUAUUCCAUUUCUCGGCCUUGGCGGAAAACACUCUGGGAUUUGAUUCCACCACCUUGCAUCUCCAUGUUAUAUGGACGUCACCUCUAUACAUUCAUCUAUUGUGUCAGGUCUAUUCAAUUCCAACAAUUGAGGACUGAAGUACAUUUUGUUUCAGUUUCUACUGUACCUGGUAGAUAAUUGGUCAGUUACUGUGAUGUCGGCCAAAGAUUGGGCACAGUGGUCGCUCAACUGGUGACCAAGGUUUUAAAUCAGUCGCUGAUUGGAGGGAAAGGAUAGAAAACAAUAGUGCUGUGGUUCUCAAGGAUCAUAAUUGAAUAUCUCUGCCUCAUAUUUCUCUGUAAAUAACCACCUUACUAAAUAUGCAGCAGUGUACAAUGGAGCCAGUUAAAGCCAAAGUACCAGAAUGCUCUGCACAUCGUGCUCUCUCGCUCUUUUCAUCUUGUAAUGAACAAGCCAGCCAAAUGUCAAGUACAUAGCAGUGACAAAUAUAACAUGCUUAUGUCUAAAAGGCGUCAAGAAUUAUCCAGCUCUUUCAGGUGCAGUGUUUGAAUUGCCCCCUUGUCUCUUGAUUUGAAAAGUGAGGCUUUCGUCAAUUAAUGAAGGUGCCAUUUUGAGGUAAUUUACAGCAGAGAGAGAGAGUGCAGGUGAUGCUUUUAAUGCUGGCCAAGCAUGAUGCCACCACAGUUUUCCAAUUGGAAUAUGUUUAUCACCAAACACAACCUGUCCAAAUGACUCACAUCACACACGCACCUGCACACACACACACACGCACACACACGCAAAUACAUAUCUGCAUAAACACUUGAAAGGGACACAGACACAGAUAUUGUCACGCCCUGGUUUUAGUAUUUUGUGUUUUCUUUAUUAAUUUGGUCAGGCCAGGGUGUAACAUGGGUUUUUUAU